rnacentral:misc_RNA from 1 species
GAUGAAGAACGCAGCGAAAUGCGAUACGUAAUGUGAAUUGCAGAAUUCAGUGAAUCAUCGAAUCUUUGAACGCACAUUGCGCCCGCCAGUAUUCUGGCAGGCAUGCCUGUCUGAGCGUCAUUUCAACCCUCAUGCCCCUAGGGCGUGGUGUUGGGGAUCGGCCAAAGCCCGCGAGGGACGGCCGGCCCCUAAAUCUAGUGGCGGACCCGUCGUGGCCUCCUCUGCGAAGUAGUGAUAUUCCGCAUCGGAGAGCGACGAGCCCCUGCCGUUAAACCCCCAACUUUCCAAGGUUGACCUCAGAUCAGGUAGGAAUACCCGCUGAACUUAAGCAUAUCAAUAAGCGGAGGA